AAGGUGGAUUUAUAAGUAAUUAUGUUUUAUUAUUGUGUAGUGAAGUGUGGAAUAACAUGUGUACAUAUUGCCCGUCGCUCUCGUAAUUAGUUGAGAUAAGUCGUAACAUAGUUGAUGUACUGGAAAGUGUAUCUUUUUGU
rnacentral:rRNA from 1 species